GACGAACGCUGGCGGCGUGCCUAAUACAUGCAAGUUGAGCGCUGAAGGUUGGUACUUGUACCAACUGGAUGAGCAGCGAACGGGUGAGUAACGCGUGGGGAAUCUGCCUUUGAGCGGGGGACAACAUUUGGAAACGAAUGCUAAUACCGCAUAAAAACUUUAAACACAAGUUUUAAGUUUGAAAGAUGCAAUUGCAUCACUCAAAGAUGAUCCCGCGUUGUAUUAGCUAGUUGGUGAGGUAAAGGCUCACCAAGGCGAUGAUACAUAGCCGACCUGAGAGGGUGAUCGGCCACAUUGGGACUGAGACACGGCCCAAACUCCUACGGGAGGCAGCCGUAGGGAAUCUUCGGCAAUGGACGAAAGUCUGACCGAGCAACGCCGCGUGAGUGAAGAAGGUUGUCGGAUCGUAAAACUCUGUUGGUAGAGAAGAACGUUGGUGAGAGUGGAAAGCUCAUCAAGUGACGGUAACUACCCAGAAAGGGACGGCUAACUACGUG
rnacentral:rRNA from 1 species